AGCAGCCGCGGUAAUUCCAGCUCCAAUAGCGUAUAUUAAAGUUGUUGCAGUUAAAAAGCUCGUAGUUGAAUUUCGGGACCAGUGGGUUGGUCAUGCCACUGGUAUGUACUGGCUUUACUGAUUCCUCCUUCUUGAAGAACUGUAAUGCCAUUAAUUUGGUGUUGCAGGGAAACAGGACUGUUACUUUGAAAAAUUAGAGUGUUUAAAGCAGGCUCGCGCUUGAAUACAUUAGCAUGGAAUAAUGAAAUAGGACGUUCGAUCCUAUUUUGUUGGUUUCUAGGAUUGACGUAAUGAUUAAUAGGGAUAGUUGGGGGCAUUAGUAUUCAAUUGUCAGAGGUGAAAUUCUUGGAUUUAUUGAAGACUAACUACUGCGAAAGCAUUUGCCAAGGAUGUUUUCAUUAAUCAAGAACGAAAGUUAGGGGAUCGAAGACGAUCAGAUACCGUCGUAGU
rnacentral:rRNA from 1 species